GACGAACGCUGGCGGCGUGCUUAACACAUGCAAGUCGAACGGACAGGCCCUGAUUUUGUGGGGUGCUCGUGUGGCGAACGGGUGAGUAACACGUGAGUAACCUGCCCUUGACUUUGGGAUAACUUCAGGAAACUGGGGCUCAUACCGGAUAGGAGCUCCUGCUGCAUGGUGGGGGUUGGAAAGUUUCGGCGGUUGGGGAUGGACUCGCGGCUUAUCCGCUUGUUGGUGGGGUAGUGGCUUACCAAGGCUUUGACGGGUAGCCGGCCUGAGAGGGUGACCGGCCACAUGGGGACUGAGAGAGGGCCCAGACUCCUACGGGAGGCAACAGGGGAGAGUAUUACACAAUGGGCGGAAGCCUGAGGCAGCAACGCCGCGUGCGGGAUGACGGCCUUCGGGUGGUAAACCGCUGUCGCCUGUGACGAAGCGUGAGUGACGGUAAUGGGUAAAGAAGCACCGGCUAACUACGUG
rnacentral:rRNA from 1 species